GAUGAACGCUGGCGGCGUGCCUAAUACAUGCAAGUCGAGCGAACGGACGAGAAGCUUGCUUCUCUGAUGUUAGCGGCGGACGGGUGAGUAACACGUGGAUAACCUACCUAUAAGACUGGGAUAACUUCGGGAAACCGUAGCUAAUACCGGAUAAUAUUUUGAACCGCAUGGUCCAAAAGUGAAAGACGGUCUUGCUGUCACUUAUAGAUGGAUCCGCGCUGCAUUAGCUAGUUGGUAAGGUAACGGCUUACCAAGGCAACGAUGCAUAGCCGACCUGAGAGGGUGAUCGGCCACACUGGAACUGAGACACGGUCCAGACUCCUACGGGAGGCAGCAGUAGGGAAUCUUCCGCAAUGGGCGAAAGCCUGACGGAGCAACGCCGCGUGAGUGAUAAAGGUCUUCGGAUCGUAAAACUCUGUUAUUAGGGAAGAACAUAUGUGUAAGUAACUGUGCACAUCUUGACGGUACCUAAUCAGAAAGCCACGGCUAACUACGUG
rnacentral:rRNA from 1 species